rnacentral:rRNA from 1 species
AGGACGAACGCUGGCGGCGUGCUUAACACAUGCAAGUCGAGCGGUAAGGCCCUUUCGGGGGUACACGAGCGGCGAACGGGUGAGUAACACGUGAGCAAUCUGCCCUUCACUUCGGGAUAAGCCUCGGAAACGGGGUCUAAUACCGGAUAUGACUGCGCCAUGCAUAUGGUGUGGUGGAAAGUUCUGGCGGUGAGGGAUGAGCUCGCGGCCUAUCAGCUUGUUGGUGGGUAAUGGCCUACCAAGGCUUCGACGGGUA